UGCUACAACAACUGGAACACCAGGUCUCUUGAGGCUCAUCAUGGUGUCUGUGGGGUUAGCAGCUCUCAUCAUCACCGUGGUUACAGUCCACAUCUGGACCAGAGCUAAAGGGGACAAAAAACGGAUGACAAAAAACCUUGAGCAGAAUGAUGAAGAUGAAGAUGAAGAUGAGGUGAACUAUGAAAACGAUGGAUGGGCUUCUACCUCUGUGUGACUGAUCAACAACAUCAACUCCCCUCAGAGUCCAUGCUGUCAAACAUCACCUCCUCAUAUUCUACAGGAGAAAACAGGAGAACCAUGAGAUCAUUGGAACAUUUCUGAUGACUGAGAACACCUGAGCAGUGUUCAUUUUGGCAGCUAUUUUUGAUUUAGUCUUUAGACGAAAAUGGUUAUUAGUUUUAGUCACAUUUUAGUCCUUUUUGUCCUUCAUAGCUUUAGUCUAGUUUUAGUCGAUGAAAAAUCAUUACAUUUUAGUCAACUUUUCGUCAAAAUGUUUUCUCUCUUUAAACUAAUUCAGUUAAACACAGGUAUCUGAAACUGGAAUCAAGGUGACAGCAUCAAGUGUUGAAAUUCCUAAAGCAACAUUUCACUCUCUUAACACUUUACUUUGAACGAGUUAGGCCCCGCCCCCCGCACACAGACCACUUCAGAAACUCACCUCCAUAUGAUAGGAAACAUAGCUUAUUAUAUUCAUUCAUUUCUGAUUUAACAUCCUUUAAGUAUGCUCUCACAUUCCCAUACAUAGUUAUAUAUCUGAUCUAUAGUCUACAGUCUCUGUAUAUAACAUCUCAAUAUUAGCAGUACUUGUACUCACACCUUAUAACUUCACUUCUCACUGUAACUGCUGCACAUGUUCAAACAUACGAGUGUUGGGUUGAAUUCAUAAAAUCUUUAAAUUGUAAAAUGAUCCAUCAAAUGUUUUUCUUAAUUGUGUUCUCUAGGGAAAUCAUUCACCCUAGUGUCGACUAUAAUAAAUGCUUUUAUCUCGUUUUUACAAUAAA